AGAAUCAACGCUGGCGGCGUGCCUAACACAUGCAAGUCGAACGCGAAAACCCAGCAAUGGGUUAGUAGAGUGGCAAACGGGUGAGUAACACGUGGGUGACCUGCCUUCGAGUGGGGGAUAACGUCCCGAAAGGGACGCUAAUACCGCAUGAUAUCCUGCCUUUGAAGAGGUGGAGAUCAAAGCUGGGGAUCCGCAAGGACCUGGCGCUUGAAGAGGGGCCCGCGCCUGAUUAGCUAGUUGGUGGGGUAACGGCUCACCAAGGCAACGAUCAGUAUCCGGCCUGAGAGGGCGGACGGACACACUGGGACUGAGACACGGCCCAGACUCCUACGGGAGGCAGCAGUGGGGAAUUGUUCGCAAUGGGCGCAAGCCUGACGACGCAACGCCGCGUGGAGGAUGAAGACCUUCGGGUCGUAAACUCCUUUCGAUCGAGACGAAUGGCUUCCAGGUGAAUAACCUGGGGGAAUGACGGUACCGAGAGAAGAAGCCCCGGCUAACUCCGUGCCAGCAGCCGCGGUAAUACGGGGGGGGCAAGCGUUGUUCGGAAUUACUGGGCGUAAAGGGCUCGUAGGUGGCCAACUAAGUCAGACGUGAAAUCCCUCGGCUUAACCGGGGAACUGCGUCUGAUACUGGAUGGCUUGAGUUUGGGAGAGGGAUGCGGAAUUCCAGGUGUAGCGGUGAAAUGCGUAGAUAUCUGGAGGAACACCGGUGGCGAAGGCGGCAUCCUGGACCAAUACUGACACUGAGGAGCGAAAGCCAGGGGAGCAAACGGGAUUAGAUACCCCGGUAGUCCUGGCCCUAAACGAUGAAUGCUUGGUGUGGCGGGUAUCGAUCCCUGCCGUGCCGAAGCUAACGCAUUAAGCAUCC
rnacentral:rRNA from 1 species